GUGUCAGCAGCCGCGGUAAUACGUAGGUGGCAAGCGUUGUCCGGAUUUACUGGGCGUAAAGGGCGUGCAGGCGGCCCGUUAAGUGCAGGGUGAAAGCUCCCGGCUCAACUGGGAGAGGUCCUUGCAUACUGGCGGGCUUGAGGGAGCUAGAGGAGAGUGGAAUUCCCGGUGUAGUGGUGAUAUGCGUAGAUAUCGGGAGGAACACCAGUGGCGAAGGCGGCUCUCUGGGGCUUUCCUGACGCUGAGACGCGAAAGCGUGGGGAGCGAACCGGAUUAGAUACCCCUGUAGUCC
rnacentral:rRNA from 1 species